rnacentral:lncRNA from 1 species
CUGGGAGGGGGUCGCAGAGGCCAAAAUAGCAGCUCUGGAAGCAGGGUCCAAAGGGGUGGAACUGGAGGAGGGGAGUGUGGGGGGCAGCCCUGAGGGAGGGGAAAGAGGCUAAACAAAUAAUCCCGAAGAAAGAGCCAAGCUAUGCUUGUGGGGGAGGAUAUCCGCGGUUGGGGUCCGAAGCCAAAGGACUAGCCUUGGGCAGAGGGUCUGAGUGGGUGGCUCUGGAGGAGGUGGGAAUGAGAGACAGCCUGGGGGAGGGGACUGAGGAGCUGCCCGGGGCUACUGGCAGGGUUGCAGGGGAUGGGCUAAAGAAACAGCCCUGGAGGAGUGUGUCUGAGAGGGUGGCACUGGAGAAGAGAGGGCAGGAAAGAGGCUUCAGGACAUGUCACAACAGAUUGACUGCAGAAGCAGAUGGGAAAAAUAAAGUCUACAUGCUGACUGAGAAUGAUCCAGUAGAGAGGGAAAAAUUGAUGCUGCAGGAGAGAAUUGCUGGAGCAGUGUCCUUGAAUACGCAAGUGUACAGGUGGAGAGCUUGGCUAUGUGCUUGGAUAAUCCAUCCAUGGAAGAAACUAACUUGCUAGCUCAACCACAGGAUAGAGAUCCUUGCUUCUUAUAAUGGAAGGAAACGGUUGAGUGGUCACAAGACUCUGCAGCACUGGGCAGCUCUUGGUGCUGGAGGGCCCUAGGCCUGAAGCCAGACACGAUUAUGCAAAAGAUAAAGACAAAAAGGCAAUAGAAGAAUAGAGAAGAGUGAAGUUCUUAUUUGGGAUCUGAAAGGAAAUAUAGAUGGGAAGCUGGAGAGCACAAUCCAGAUGAGGAAGUUUCCCUGCCUUCUCUCCUUCCUCUGAAUUACCAUUGCAGCAGCUAAUAUUUACUGAGGGCUUGUUAUGUGCAAGGCAAUUAUCUACGUUCCAUCACUUAAUCCUCACAACUAUCUCACGAGGUGGAUUCUAAGGAGAGGGUGAGAGAAGUCAUUUACCCAAUGACACACCUGGAAAACAGCAAAACCAGAAAUAAAACCCAAGUGUCUGACACUAAA